GACGAACGCUGGCGGCGUGCUUAACACAUGCAAGUCGAACGGAAAGGCCCUGCUUUUGUGGGGUGCUCGAGUGGCGAACGGGUGAGUAACACGUGAGUAACCUGCCCUUUACUUUGGGAUAUCUUCAGGAAACUGGGGCUAAUACCGGAUUGGAGCUCCUGCUGCAUGGUGGGGGUUGGAAAGUUUCGGCGGUUGGGGAUGGACGCGCGGGUUAUCAGCUUGUUGGGUGGGUGGUGGCUUACGAAGUGUUUGGCGGGUAGUCGGCCUGGGAGGGUGACCGGCCACAUUGGGACUGAGAGACGGCCCAGAGUCCUACGGGAGGCAGCAGGGGGGAAUAUUGCACAAUGGGCGGAAGCCUGAUGCAGCAACGCCGCGUGCGGGAUGACGGCCUUCGGGUUGUAAACCGCUUUCGCCUGUGACGAAGCGUGAGUGACGGUAAUGGGUAAAGAAGCACCGGCUAACUACGUG
rnacentral:rRNA from 1 species